CGGACGGGGUGAGUAAUGUCUGGGAAACUGCCUGAUGGAGGGGGAUAACUACUGGAAACGGUAGCUAAUACCGCAUAACGUCGCAAGACCAAAGAGGGGGACCUUAGGGCCUCUUGCCAUCGGAUGUGCCCAGAUGGGAUUAGCUUGUUGGUGGGGUAACGACUCACCAAGGCGACGAUCCCUAGCUGGUCUGAGAGGAUGACCAGCCACACUGGAACUGAGACACGGUCCAG
rnacentral:rRNA from 1 species